UUGCAAUUGAUGAGAGAGCUAAGAGUUGGCUUCUCCAUCAGUUAGAUGGCAAAUGGAGGCAAUACAAGGCAAAACUGAAAGGAAAAUAUUACAAGCCUAACUUACCUAUGGAACAAGUAUUGCAAAUGGUACCCAAAACUAUUGAUGAAUCUCAAUGGUCUACACUUGUCUCUUUACUGAAAAUCAGUGACAGAAACCAAGAGAAUGCACAAAAUAUCAAGCAUCCACACACUUUAGGAAGAAAGAGUUUUGCAAGAAAGAGAAAAGAGUUGGAAGUUAAUGGGGUGGAGGUGGACCGAGCAACAUUCUUUGAUGAAUGCCAUAAGACAAGAUGGCAGAUAUGUUAAUGAUGCUACUCAAGAAAAAAUGAAUAAUGUAUACAUGAAAUUGGCUGAGAAAAGAGUAGAUGGUCACAACUCAGUGAAGCUGAUUUUGAAUAAGCUAUGUUGGAUGUGUUUGGAAAGGAUCAUAAUGGUAGAGUUAGAGGCAUGGGUCCAACCAUUACUCCAACAAAUUAUUAUGGUGGUAGGUUUUCAAAUAUAUCAGCAAGCAAUGAACAAGAAACCAACUCCAGUAAUGUCAAUGCUUUCAUAAGUUUUAUGGUCUCAUAUAUGGCAGAGAAAUAUCCUGAGGACAAUUUAUUGGCUAGGUUGCCACCAUCACUUACUAGGCUCAUUCCAACAAGUGAGGUUAAUCAAAACCAAGAAAUUCAGGCACCAAGUUCUGGGCCAUCUCCUAGUCAUAGAGCAUCUUCUCGGCCUUCAACUGAAGAAGAGUGAAGUUACAAAAAUUUACACUGGCAACUAUAUCAUUCCAUACUACUUGCUGUAUUAGGAUUUUUAAGUUAAAUUGUUUUAGAAUCUACUGUUUCAUUAUUAUUGGAAAGAAUGUUUCAACAUUUUUAUUGGGAACAAUGUAUGGAUAUUACUUGUUUAUUUUAAUGCAAAG